UGAUGGUGAUCUUCUAUUGUUGCUUUGGUGAGUUGCUGAAUCAUUAUUAUUCUCAUGCUUGAGCUUGAAUAUGGGAAAAAAUGGCAUACCAGAAGAAAAAAGAUGAGAAAGCCUGAAGAAUAGUUCAUAGUUUUUGUUUCAUGAAAGUGCUAAACAUGCGGGUUUAGAGAAAAAGUAUUAGCUAGCUUUUUUUUUGUUAGCUUAUGACAAUU
rnacentral:lncRNA from 1 species